AGUUGGUGGAGCGAUUUGUCUGGUUUAUUCCGAUAACGAACGAGACUCUGGCCUACUAAAUAGUGAGUAGAUUCUGUUAGUCUACAACACUUCUUAGAGGGACAAGUGGUGUUCAGCCACACGAGAUUGAGCAAUAACAGGU
rnacentral:rRNA from 1 species